rnacentral:rRNA from 1 species
GCUUACCAUGCAAGUCGAACGAUGAACCACUUCGGUGGGGAUUAGUGGCGAACGGGUGAGUAACACGUGGGCAAUCUGCCCUGCACUCUGGGACAAGCCCUGGAAACGGGGUCUAAUACCGGAUAUUGACCUUCACGGGCAUCUGUGAGGUUCGAAAGCUCCGGCGGUGCAGGAUGAGCCCGCGGCCUAUCAGCUUGUUGGUGAGGUAAUGGCUCACCAAGGCGACGACGGGUAGCCGGCCUGAGAGGGCGACCGGCCACACUGGGACUGAGACACGGCCCAGACUCCUACGGGAGGCAGCAGUGGGGAAUAUUGCACAAUGGGCGAAAGCCUGAUGCAGCGACGCCGCGUGAGGGAUGACGGCCUUCGGGUUGUAAACCUCUUUCAGCAGGGAAGAAGCGAAAGUGACGGUACCUGCAGAAGAAGCGCCGGCUAACUACGUGCCAGCAGCCGCGGUAAUACGUAGGGCGCAAGCGUUGUCCGGAAUUAUUGGGCGUAAAGAGCUCGUAGGCGGCUUGUCACGUCGGUUGUGAAAGCCCGGGGCUUAACCCCGGGUCUGCAGUCGAUACGGGCAGGCUAGAGUUCGGUAGGGGAGAUCGGAAUUCCUGGUGUAGCGGUGAAAUGCGCAGAUAUCAGGAGGAACACCGGUGGCGAAGGCGGAUCUCUGGGCCGAUACUGACGCUGAGGAGCGAAAGCGUGGGGAGCGAACAGGAUUAGAUACCCUGGUAGUCCACGCCGUAAACGGUGGGCACUAGGUGUGGGCAACAUUCCACGUUGUCCGUGCCGCAGCUAACGCAUUAAGU